CGUAUCACUUAAAGCGAUUCAGCGGAUGACGAUUGACGGAGCGAAGCGACGUCAAAGCGUAUACAAAGUCGAGUCGGUUUAAGGAUACGUUCGUUGGGUAGGGGAGCGUUCUGUAAGCCUGUGAAGGUGUGCUGUGAGGCAUGCUGGAGGUAUCAGAAGUGCGAAUGCUGACAUAAGUAACGAUAAAGCGGGUGAAAAGCCCGCUCGCCGGAAGACCAAGGGUUCCUGUCCAACGUUAAUCGGGGCAGGGUGAGUCGACCCCUAAGGCGAGGCCGAAAGGCGUAGUCGAUGGGAAACGGGUUAAUAUUCCCGUACUUGGUGUUACUGCGAAGGGGGGACGGAGAAGGCUAUGUUGGCCGGGCGACGGUUGUCCCGGUUUAAGCGUGUAGGCUGGUUUUCCAGGCAAAUCCGGAAAAUCAAGGCUGAGGCGUGA
rnacentral:rRNA from 1 species